rnacentral:lncRNA from 1 species
AGAAACUGAAAAGAAUUAAAUUGGAGUUUAAACGGACCCGUUAGGAAUUUAAUCGGGUGAUAAGACGAAUUAGGCCAAUACCGGGUUUAGAUAGUUACCAGUGCAUUUUUGCAUUCCAUAUCAUGCAUUGGUAGUCUAAAUUAGUUUAAUUUUGAUUUAGUACCAACUUGGUGAAACUCUCGAUUUUGUAUUGUGUCAAGGUGGUGAGUCCUCCGAUAAAGGCAAGGAAAUUGCAUCCGAGGACCAGUAGACAGAGUGCUUCGAAAGUCUGCAUUCUAGACAUUGUGAGUAAACUUACUGUCAUUUUAAUUAUCUAGGGUGGUUUUUAGAUGCUUUCAUGAAUUCUAUGGAAAAAGGAAUUUAAAAAGAUAAAUUUUCAUGUUUUAUGAAUAAAUGAGUUUCAAUGAAAUUAAAUUAUAAAUUGUUUUGAAAUUAAUAGUGAUUUUGAAAAAUAGAGUACACGGAGACUGUUAAUUGUGGCAAUUUGAUUGUUUAAAUUAACUGGCUUAUGAUAAAUCGAGCAUGAUUGGCUAGUUGGCAAUUGUAUUGAAAUGCGAAUUGUUUGGUUACCUUGAAAAACUACGAAUUACAAAAUUGCCAUAUCAUGUUAUUGAGUUUUAUUAUAUGGUGGAUUAUAUAUUAAUUAAUCACUGCAGUAGGGGGUUUCUGUGGACCAGCCUUUUAGAGGGGCACUGUAAACUCCAUUAUAUUCUUACCUCGAACGGAGAGGCGCGUAGGGUAUCUCCUGGGGUAAAGUUUAGGGUUCACUUCACGCUAAACCACCAAGUGAGGGGGAACUCAGCCAACGCCAAGGAACGGCUAUGUUUUCAAAACAAAAACAUGAUUAAUGUGAAAUGUGAAUUUUAAUAGUUGGUAGGAUGCCUCGGCCAAGGUGUCCCCGAGAAUGGCUUUAUGGCACAAGCCUAGAUUUUUGUGAGAUUCAUAAGCCUUUUUACGUAUUUUGAACGAGAUGUGUUCUAAUUGUAUAACCCAGUUUAUGAUGAUUUACUUUAUUGUCUCCAUGUACUCAACUCUAGAUGUUUAUGAUGAUGUUUGUUUACUCAUUGGGAUUUUAUAAUCUCAACACCCUCCUUUCCACCCAUUUCAGGUUCAGUAUAGACUGUAGAUAGCUGAUCUCAUCGAGGACUACAAUGGGAUCUGUAUUUUCCAAACCGUAGGUUCACAGUCCUCUUUACUUUUGUUUAUUCGGGGGCACUCUUGCUAUUGUAAAUUAAAUUAAAUAUUUUGACUUACUGUAUUUAAGUAUGUAUAAAUUUAUUUAGCUUUUACGCUAUAAAAAUUAUUCACGUAUAACUCUAUAAAUAUUGUUUUAUAAGAAAAU